rnacentral:tRNA from 2 species
CCCUGGUUAGCUCAGUUGGUAGCGCGCUCCACUAGAAAUGGAGAGGUCCCGGGUUCGAUACCCGGACCAGGCG